GGACCAUCUCCUAAGGCUAAAUACUCUCUAGUGACCGAUAGUGAACCAGUACCGUGAGGGAAAGGUGAAAAGCACCCCGGAAGGGGAGUGAAAUAGAACCUGAAACCGUGUGCUUACAAGUAGUCAGAGCCCGUUAAUGGGUGAUGGCGUGCCUUUUGUAGAAUGAACCGGCGAGUUACGAUUUGAUGCAAGGUUAAGCAGUAAAUGUGGAGCCGUAGCGAAAGCGAGUCUGAAUAGGGCGUUUAGUAUUUGGUCGUAGACCCGAAACCAGGUGAUCUACCCUUGGUCAGGUUGAAGUUCAGGUAACACUGAAUGGAGGACCGAACCGACUUACGUUGAAAAGUGAGCGGAUGAACUGAGGGUAGCGGAGAAAUUCCAAUCGAACCUGGAGAUAGCUGGUUCUCUCCGAAAUAGCUUUAGGGCUAGCCUCAAGUGAUGAUUAUUGGAGGUAGAGCACUGUUUGGACGAGGGGCCCCUCUCGGGUUACCGAAUUCAGACAAACUCCGAAUGC
rnacentral:rRNA from 1 species